rnacentral:lncRNA from 1 species
ACAUUUUUUGCAAUAAUCCAGAUUCGGAUGGCUUCAAGAGUUGGGUCUAACUUCUCAAAAGAAUAUUUAAAAAAAAUCCGUGUAGCUCCGAAAUUCUCUGGCAUAUUCGAUUCUCUACCUUCCUCCUUGGCACUCCGACUGACAUGGACUCGCCACCGCCUCGGUACUCUAGUACCGCCUCCGUGACCCAAGAACUUCUACGGAGCGAGGUAAGUCUAUUUUCUAAUCUUGUAAGGGGAAAUUAACUUCAUAGGUGAACUAAAUUAUUGUGUGCUUCUAUUUGUUGGAAUCACGUACGCACGAGGUGACGAGAGUCCGUACGUAACUACUAGCUAUGCCUACGUCCGGAUAGUUUUAGGCUCACAUCAUGCCUUGUUGAUAUUGUUAUUGAUUUUUGUUUAUUGUUUGCCUUGAGAGGGAGCGAGAUUGAGUCUGCUUAUUAAAUCUUUUGAGAGGUGUUGAAAUUGAAGAACUUAAGAUUUAAAAGGUAUCAUUUGAACUUCGUAAUUUCGAAAAGAAUUGAGGAAUAAUAUAAUAGCUGAAGAAAUCUAUGUGUAACCGCGUCGCAUGUAUGUUUCGCGAGCAGAGUAAUUUCCUUAAAAAGCUAUAAGUCGAAUUUCCCUUAUUUUGAAAAGAAUCAAGAAAGAGAUAUGAUUUUAAUAUUAAAUUUAUAUUUGACCGCAUCGCAAGUAUGAUCCGCGAGCGGGGUGGUUCCUUAAAUUUAUGUUUGAUCGCGCCGCACGUAUGAUUCGCGAGCGGGGUAUUUCCUACUACUCUCAUGGGAGCGGGCCGUUCGCCUAGGCAGAUUAAAUAGAUGCAUAUAUGGUUCGCGCCAUUCGACCCUCUGAUAGUGCACAAUUUAAAUAUUUGUUGAAUCGAUUCGUACGACCUCGGCAUGAUUUGCGCAUGCUUGUAUUAUUUGCCUUGAAAUUUAUAAAUAAUGAUAUUUCCUCCCUAGUAUGAGAUAAAUUGAUAAAUGAUGAAAUGUGAAUUUGGAAACCUCUUAUUAACAAAGGAAUCGUUUACUUGAUUCAUGAUUUUCUUGAGUUUAGUGUCGUUUUUAAUAAAUCCACGACUAAUUAUAUUAUUGAUGGCCACAGUAAGUGUUGAAGUCGACCCUUCGUCACUACUUUUUCGAGGUUAGGCGGGAUAUUUACUGGGUACGCGUUGAUUUACGUACUCAUACUAUACUUGUUGCACGUUUUGUACAGGUACAUAUAUGACUAGUGGCCUUGUGGGCGCAGAGGCGCGGUUAUUAUGGGGACUUAGGUGAGCUGCAUCUUAUGUACGACCCGCAGCCAGCAGAGUCUCCUUCAGAGUAUUGUAUUUUCGUUCUUGUCCAAAUUUGUAUUACGGACAGUUAUUGUAUUUUAUUCUAAAUUCCUAGAAAAUGCUCAUGCACUUGUGACACCGGGUUGUGGGAUGAUUAUGGGAUGUUCAGUAUUGAAAUUGGAAAAGAUGGUUAUUAU